rnacentral:rRNA from 1 species
GAUGAACGCUGGCGGCGUGCCUAAUACAUGCAAGUCGAGCGAACAGACGAGGAGCUUGCUCCUCUGACGUUAGCGGCGGACGGGUGAGUAACACGGGGAUAACCUACCUAUAAGACUGGGAUAACUUCGGGAAACCGGAGCUAAUACCGGAUAAUAUAUUGAACCGCAUGGUUCAAUAGUGAAAGACGGUUUUGCUGUCACUUAUAGAUGGAUCCGCGCCGCAUUAGCUAGUUGGUAAGGUAACGGCUUACCAAGGCAACGAUGCGUAGCCGACCUGAGAGGGGGAUCGGCCACACGGGAACUGAGACACGGUCCAGACUCCUACGGGAGGCAGCAGUAGGGAAUCUUCCGCAAUGGGCGAAAGCCUGACGGAGCAACGCCGCGUGAGUGAUGAAGGUCUUCGGAUCGUAAACCUCUGUUAUUAGGGAAGAACAAAUGUGUAAGUAACUAUGCACGUCUUGACGGUACCUAAUCAGAAAGCCACGGCUAACUACGUG